AACCCAAGGUGAGGGCACCUUCUCAAUAAGUCCUUAUAUCUCUCUCAUGCAUCUUAUAAGGUUUCCAAAUCCGUUUGUACAAAGGAGGAGAUAUCAUUCCUCAGCUU
rfam:Gossypium arboreum cultivar AKA8401 contig_36818_1, whole genome shotgun sequence.